AUGCCCAUCCAGCACACACUGGACAUUACUCCCUUGCCCUUUACAGCUCCAGAGUUCCAGGCUAUGCCAAAAGCCCGUUGCGUGUCAUGCCAGGAGUAUGUUCCCCUGCAGCUCCUAAGCCUCCACGUUAAAACAUGUGCCAAGACUAAAGGCAAUGACGGGAACAAAUCUGAUAAUGACAUCAUUGACUUGGAUCAUAUGGUCUUCGACGCUGAGAAUGUGGUGUCCACUGAUGUGCAGUCGUCAUCAUGGUUGGCGCAUAAGCAACUGUCACCAGGUAAAGUCUGGAUAUCUGAAGAGUCUGUUGAUGCUGGUCAGUGGGGCCGAACCGACCCUCUCCGUCCCCUGCUUGCAUCCUCCCAUCCUGCCGACAGCGCAUGUUCUCAUCUCCGCCGCUGGCAUUAUGUGCCCACCUGCGACUGUCCCGCCGAAAAAGGGUCUCUCAUCCGGCAUUACGUGCCCGCCAGAGAGUCUACAAAAGGCGCAUCUCUCUCCUCCCUCCAUGUUGUCUGUGCCGCUGCGUGGUUUUACACAGACACAAAUGAACAGCAAACCGAUACCUUUGAUGACACCGAUGAACAACAUGAUUACAACAGUUGGUGGUUGCCUAGCAACGGUAAAGCGUCAGCUCUUUCCCUUCUAUGUUUGUCCGCUGUGUGUAUGGGGCAGGAGCUGUGCUUGGUGUCUCCGUCAGUAACCAUCAGCUGUUUCUCUGUUGUCAGAAUAAAUUCCGUGAACCUGACUAUAGCCUGUGUGUUGUCUCUACUGAUCCGAACCGAACAAGAGGGUUACAGUUACAUGGGCCCAAUUAAUGUUGACCAGAAAAAGGCCAUCACAGAUGCUGUUACUUUGCAUGGACUGUUGAGGCUCAUCCCAAUCCUGAACCAGCUACGUGAGGAGUUGAGGCUGUAUGGAGUAGAUGAGGUUUUGGGCCACCAUGACCAGAUGUGCAAGCAACUAUUUGUUCCUGGCUUCAUACAGGAGAGGCGCUAGGAGAGGCUGGGUGGGGUUAUCGACGACCGGAGCCGCCGUCACAGACGCACCUGCAGCAGGUUGGCAAUCAGCGGCUGCUGACUAAAGCCUAGGUCUUCACGCUGCCUGCUGCCAGAUGAUUACUUCGACUAGAUGUGGUACACGGCUCACACAGACUGUAGCUACUACGGCUUCUACUGUGUUCCCCGGUCUCUUGCUGAGAUUAAUUACUGUUGUGUCCUUUCCCUAGUGACCCACGACCCGGCUACCUGCACCACCUGCUCCAGCCUCCCAGCUCCUCGCACCUGACCCGGCUCUCCCUCGCCCUGCGCCGUCUGGCGCACCCGGCGCAACCCCGGCAUCCCUGGGAAAAACCCCUGCACAGACCAUCCGCACUCCACCAGACAGGGACUCCGUCGGGAGCGCUCAGCGUUCGUUUAUUCAGUGUUCAAUAAAUCACCAAGUUUCUACCUCUGAUCUGCCUCCGUGUCCGCUCUUGGGUCCCUGUCCACCCGGCUCAACACUGAUUCUUCAAUCACCAAAAUUCUGCGGUGGUUAUUUCUGGACAGAUGACCGAUGCAAAUAUUAAUCACUGCUGCUCCAUUGCUAGGGAAGCUAUAGCAUAGCAACCACAGCCAAAGACUGGGGAACAAUCAGUUCACAUUAACAUCAUUAAAGUCUGUGUAAAGCAGCAAUACAUUUGUGUUAUGAGUUUGUCACACCACAGAAACGUGUCAUUGACCACUGAGCCAAAUGUGAAAGAUUUAAAAAAUUGCUAAGUAUAUAAAAUUAGGUCUCAAAAUCAUGAAAAACAAGCACUUCUUUCUGCUGUGAGACAGUGGGGGCAUGUCAGAGGCGCUGGAACCACACCCACGCGCGGGAGGGGAGCCUCCUCCAUGUACU
rnacentral:lncRNA from 1 species